AUUGAACGCUGGCGGCAGGCCUAACACAUGCAAGUCGAGCGGAUGAAGGGAGCUUGCUCCUGGAUUCAGCGGCGGACGGGUGAGUAAUGCCUAGGAAUCUGCCUGGUAGUGGGGGAUAACGUCCGGAAACGGGCGCUAAUACCGCAUACGUCCUGAGGGAGAAAGUGGGGGAUCUUCGGACCUCACGCUAUCAGAUGAGCCUAGGUCGGAUUAGCUAGUUGGUGGGGUAAAGGCCUACCAAGGCGACGAUCCGUAACUGGUCUGAGAGGAUGAUCAGUCACACUGGAAAUGAGACAAGGUCCAGACUCCUACGGGAGGGAGCCGUGGGGAAUAAUGGACCAUGGGCGGAAGCCUGAUCCAGCCCUGCCGCGUGUGGGAAGAAGGUCUUUGGAUUGUAAAGCACUUUAAGUUGGGAGGAAGGGCAGUAAGUUAAUACCUUGCUGUUUUGACGUUACCAACAGAAUAAGCACCGGCUAACUUCGUG
rnacentral:rRNA from 1 species